AUACGGAGGAUCCAAGCGUUAUCCGGAAUCAUUGGGUUUAAAGGGUCCGUAGGUGGAUAAUUAAGUCAGAGGUGAAAUCCUGCAGCUCAACUGUAGAAUUGCCUUUGAUACUGGUUAUCUUGAGUUAUUAUGAAGUAGUUAGAAUAUGUAGUGUAGCGGUGAAAUGCAUAGAUAUUACAUAGAAUACCGAUUGCGAAGGCAGAUUACUAAUAAUAUACUGACACUGAGGUACGAAAGCGUGGGGAGCGAACAGGAUUAGAAACCCCUGUAGUCC
rnacentral:rRNA from 1 species